GGAAUAUUGAUAUAUUCGACUUUUUAGAAGACGCAGCUGGAUUAGAGCAUGUCGGGUAAUCUCACAGGUCAGGAGAAUCAGGGCAGUGAUCGUGCGGUUUAGAGUAUUAGUGUUAGAUUUACAGCAUUUGUUUUUGUGAGGAGAAUUAUACUCAUUUGAGCUUACAAUUUGAUUUGGUGAGAGUGUGUUGUAAUAAGUAGCUUGAGGAUUUGGUUUAUGUAAUAUUAAGAGGUGUAAGGUGUGGUUGUUUCUGAGAGAAAAAUUCAGAACGUUAUUUGUAUUGUUAUUAGUCAUGUUCCGGAUUUGAAUCCUUAUUU
rnacentral:lncRNA from 1 species